rnacentral:rRNA from 1 species
GGGGAGUACGGUCGCCAAGAUUAAAACUCAAAGGAAUUGACGGGGACCCGCANCAANCGGUGGAUGAUGUGGAUUAAUUCGAUGCAACGCGAAAAACCUUACCUACCCUUGACAUGGUCGGAACCUGGCUGAAAGGNUGGGGUGCUCGAAAGAGAACCGAUACACAGGUGCUGCAUGGCUGUCGUCAGCUCGUGUCGUGAGAUGUUGGGUUAAGUCCCGCAACGAGCGCAACCCUUGUCCUUAGUUGCUACGCAAGAGCACUCUAAGGAGACUGCCGGUGACAAANCCGGAGGAAGGUGGGGAUGACGUCAAGUCCUCAUGGCCCUUAUGGGUAGGGCUUCACACGUCAUACAAUGGUCGGAACAGAGGGCUGCCAACUCCGUGAGGGGGAGCUAAUCCCAGAAAACCGAUCGUAGUCCGGAUCGUAGUCUGCAACUCGAGCUAGCGUGAAGUCUGGAACUCGCUAGUAAUCGCGGAUCAGCAUG